rnacentral:rRNA from 1 species
UAGGGAAUCUUCCGCAAUGGGCGAAAGCCUGACGGAGCAACGCCGCGUGAGUGAUGAAGGUCUUCGGAUCGUAAAACUCUGUUGUUAGGGAAGAACAAAUUUGUUAGUAACUGAACAAGUCUUGACGGUACCUAACCAGAAAGCCACGGCUAACUACGUGCCAGCAGCCGCGGUAAUACGUAGGUGGCAAGCGUUAUCCGGAAUUAUUGGGCGUAAAGCGCGCGUAGGCGGUUUCUUAAGUCUGAUGUGAAAGCCCACGGCUCAACCGUGGAGGGUCAUUGGAAACUGGGAAACUUGAGUGCAGAAGAGGAGAGUGGAAUUCCAUGUGUAGCGGUGAAAUGCGCAGAGAUAUGGAGGAACACCAGUGGCGAAGGCGGCUCUCUGGUCUGUAACUGACGCUGAUGUGCGAAAGCGUGGGGAUCAAACAGGAUUAGAUACCCUGGUAGUCCACGCCGUAAACGAUGAGUGCUAAGUGUUAGGGGUUUCCGCCCCUUAGUGCUGCAGCUAACGCAUUAAGCACUCCGCCUGGGGAGUACGACCGCAAGGUUG